GGAGAGGUAGCGAAGUGGUCAAACGCAUCUGACUGUAAAUCAGACGGCUAACGCCUUCGAAGGUUCAAAUCCUUCCCUCUCCA
rnacentral:tRNA from 6 species